UGGGGGAUAUUGCGCAAUGGGGGAAACCCUGACGCAGCAACGCCGCGUGAAGGAAGAAGGUCUUCGGAUUGUAAACUUUUGUCUUGUGGGAAGAUAAUGACGGUACCACAGGAGGAAGCUCCGGCUAACUACGUGCCAGCAGCCGCGGUAAUACGUAGGGAGCGAGCGUUGUCCGGAUUUACUGGGUGUAAAGGGUGCGUAGGCGGCUGAUUAAGUCAGGUGUGAAAUACCGCAGCUUAACUGCGGGGCUGCACUUGAAACUGAUCGGCUUGAGUGAUGGAGAGGUAAGCGGAAUUCCUAGUGUAGCGGUGAAAUGCGUAGAUAUUAGGAGGAACACCAGUGGCGAAGGCGGCUUACUGGACAUUAACUGACGCUGAGGCACGAAAGCGUGGGGAGCAAACAGG
rnacentral:rRNA from 1 species